UACGUAGGGUGCGAGCGUUGUCCGGAAUUAUUGGGCGUAAAGAGCUCGUAGGCGGUUUGUCGCGUCGGCCGUGAAAACUUGGGGCUUAACCCCGAGCCUGCGGUCGAUACGGGCAGACUUGAGUUCGGCAGGGGAGACUGGAAUUCCUGGUGUAGCGGUGAAAUGCGCAGAUAUCAGGAGGAACACCGGUGGCGGAGGCGGGUCUCUGGGCCGAUACUGACGCUGAGGAGCGAAAGCGUGGGGAGCGAACAGG
rnacentral:rRNA from 1 species